GACGAACGCUGGCGGCGUGCUUAACACAUGCAAGUCGAACGGAAAGGCCUCUUUUGGGGGGUACGCGAGGCGCAAAGGGGUGUAACACGCGUGUAUAAUCUGCCUUACUCCUCGAGAUCACUUCAAAAAACGGGGGAUUACACCGGAUAGAAGCUUCCGCUGCAUUGGGGGGGGUGGAGAUUUUCGGGGUUUGGGGGUGGACUCGCGGCUUAUCAGCUUGUUGGUGGGGGAGUGGCUUACAGAGGCUUUGGCGGGUAGCCGGCCUGAGUGCGUGACCGGCCACAGUGGGACUGGGAUACGGCCCAGACGCCUACGGGAGGCAGCAGUGGGGAAUGUUGCACAAUGGGUGGGAGCCUGAUGCAGCUACGCCGAGUGCGGGAUGACGGCCUUCGGGUUGUAAACCGCUUUCGCUCAUGGCGAAGCUUUUUGUGACGGUAGUGGGUAAAGAAGCACCGGCUAACUACGUG
rnacentral:rRNA from 1 species